rnacentral:rRNA from 1 species
UACGUAGGGUGCAAGCGUUAAUCGGAAUUACUGGCGUAAGCGUGCGCAGGCGGUUUGUAAGUCUGUCGUGAAAGCCCCGGGCUCAACCUGGGAACUUGCGAUGGAGACUGCAAGGCUUGAAUCUGGCAGAGGGGGGUAGAAUUCCACGUGUAGCAGGUGAAAUCGCGUAGAGAUGUGGAGGAACACCGAUGGCGAAGGCAGCCCCCUGGGUCAAGAUUGACGCUCGAUGCACGAAGCGUGGGAGCAAACAGG